rnacentral:lncRNA from 1 species
GGGCAAGUGCAGUUCUGAGGCAGCAUUUAGCAGUUGUACUCUACCCUCGGGCUCCAAGGAUGUUCUUUCCAUUGCUCUCUUGCUGUGCUGUCUGAACCUUGGAGAGGGAAGCCUGGUGGAGCAGAGGUCACAUUCAGGGCUGAACACUCAGUCACUGUCAGCAGCUUGGCUAGCUGGCCUGUGGAUGACUUCUAAAAGCCAUGCAUUUACUACAAGUUCUGAUUGCAACCCAAUGAUGGUCCAGUUAGCCAUAGACCUCACAUCCUCGUGAGACCUCACGUCUCAGUAAGCUAAUCAGAUGCUUAGUUACCCUGAGAUCCUACAGCCCUUGUAGGGAUGCUCAAUGUGCCUCCCAUUCAGAGCCAAGGAUAUAAACGCCUUUGUCAGAAUAAUGGCAAAUCUGCCAGAAUGACGGCAAACCAAACACCCCAUUUCCUGGGGUUACAACCAGAAUAAAACAUAAUAGCCAUUCCCUACA